UACGUAGGGGGCAAGCGUUGUCCGGAUUCAUUGGGCGUAAAGAGCGUGUAGGCGGCCAGGUAGGUCGGUUGUGAAAACUGGAGGCUCAACCUUCAGAGGUCGACCGAAACCAUCUGGCUAGAGUCCGGGAGAGGAGAGUGGAAUUCCUGGUGUAGCGGUGAAAUGCGCAGAUAUCAGGAAGAACACCGACGGCGAAGGCAGCUCGCUGGGACGGUACUGACGCUGAGGCGCGAAAGCGUGGGGAGCGAACAGG
rnacentral:rRNA from 1 species